GCUACGAGUGAGAGUCUUCCACUUGCUGGUGUGAUAAGAGCACUUGUCAAGAGAGAGAGCAUAUGUUGCCACGUCGAGCGUAAGGAAGCUGAUAUGGCCAAAAGACAAUAUGACGAUGGGCACAGCUGGAAAAAAUCCGCCACCCAGCCCGACAGAGCCAGGCUAACACCGCACCUCCCACUGCUGAUACCUCCCCCAAGCACUGGCAUCUCGCUCUCCUUCGCCCUCCUGCAUUAUGCUCGAACCCAUUUGCAGACAGAGCAUCCAUCAUUAUGACUGGCUCUUUUGAUGGCCUCAAUAGCGCCGCCUACAGGCCUUUGGUGGAAGUCUGUUUCAAUCGGUACUAUGAUGACAGGAUGCGCCAUCCAGACGUUUUUGUUUUCCCGUCCAAAAUGUGCCCCAUCAGAGGUCUUCAAAGGGGAGCAGAAAGCUCAAUGCUAAGAGACAACGAUUGGAGCAGACUAACACUGUGUCAACUAUGUGAGUCCCGUUCCAAAAAGCAGCUGGAUUCCCCGUCCACCACACCCUGCUCGCCUUCUCUCAUUGGUCAGGGUUUUUUUCCCCCCGGUUUCCUUCCUGCUACUGCUGCUAUGCCGUGGGUGUCCUGAGAAAAGAGCCUGCAUGGAGCAGACCAGUAUCAACGGGCCUGAUAACAAGAUGGAAAGACUGAGGCCAACAGGAAGGACAACAUAAAAGAAUCCUUACCAAAGUUGCCACGGUUCAUCUCUUUUCACUCAUUGGA